UUGAGCUUUUAGUUUUCGCACCUUCCGACGCAAUUAACAGUUGACACAGAAUUUUGCAAAUAUUAUUUUAAAGAAUAGUGCAAAAUAUUCUAAUUCAAGUACAUAACGUAUUGUGACUAAAUCUUGAGUGUGAAAGUGUUUUUAGUGAGUUGCUUCAGCCGGCAAAUGAAGCAAAUAUAUUUCCAAAAAAUCAGUGCAACAACAGCAAGUGUAGCGCGCAGCUUCGUAAAGUGCUCGUGAAGCUCUUAUUCUGACUGAAGUGGUAAUGUAAACCUUAAACUCUCACAUGGCAGAAAUAAAAUGAAAUAAAAGAAAAAAUCAACAGCAGUGAAAUAAAUUAUAUCCAGGUGAGCAUUUGGCGCGCCUUCAUGCUGGCCAAUACAACGCUGCGGCUCUUAUACCAGUGCGCCGGCGAGGAGGCGCCAUCUCGAUUGCCC